UGCUCAGAAGAUGACGAGUGGCGGACGGGUGAGUAAUGCUUGGGAACUUGCCUUUGCGAGGGGGAUAACAGUUGGAAACGACUGCUAAUACCGCAUAAUGUCUUCGGACCAAACGGGGCUUCGGCUCCGGCGCAAAGAGAGGCCCAAGUGAGAUUAGCUAGUUGGUAAGGUAACGGCUUACCAAGGCGACGAUCUCUAGCUGUUCUGAGAGGAAGAUCAGCCACACUGGGACUGAGACACGGCCCAGACUCCUACGGGAGGCAGCAGUGGGGAAUAUUGCACAAUGGGGGAAACCCUGAUGCAGCCAUGCCGCGUGUGUGAAGAAGGCCUUCGGGUUGUAAAGCACUUUCAGUUGUGAGGAAAAGUUAGUAGUUAAUACCUGCUAGCCGUGACGUUAACAACAGAAGAAGCACCGGCUAACUCCGUGCCAGCAGCCGCGGUAAUACGGAGGGUGCGAGCGUUAAUCGGAAUUACUGGGCGUAAAGCGCACGCAGGCGGUUUGUUAAGCUAGAUGUGAAAGCCCCGGGCUCAACCUGGGAUGGUCAUUUAGAACUGGCAGACUAGAGUCUUGGAGAGGGGAGUGGAAUUCCAGGUGUAGCG
rnacentral:rRNA from 1 species